UACGGGGGGGGCAAGCGUUGUUCGGAAUUACUGGGCGUAAAGGGCUCGUAGGCGGCCAACUAAGUCAGACGUGAAAUCCCUCGGCUUAACCGGGGAACUGCGUCUGAUACUGGUUGGCUUGAAUCCGGGAGAGGGAUGUGGAAUUACAGGUGUAGCGGUGAAAUGCGUAGAUAUCUGGAGGAACACCGGUGGCGAAGGCGGCAUUCUGGACCGGUAUUGACGCUGAGGAGCGAAAGCCAGGGGAGCAAACGGG
rnacentral:rRNA from 1 species